rnacentral:rRNA from 1 species
AUUGAACGCUGGCGGCAGGCUUAACACAUGCAAGUCGAGCGGAGAUGAGGUGCUUGCACCUUAUCUUAGCGGCGGACGGGUGAGUAAUGCUUAGGAAUCUGCCUAUUAGUGGGGGACAACAUUCCGAAAGGAAUGCUAAUACCGCAUACGUCCUACGGGAGAAAGCAGGGGAUCUUCGGACCUUGCGCUAAUAGAUGAGCCUAAGUCGGAUUAGCUAGUUGGGGGGGUAAAGGCCUACCAAGGCGACGAUCUGUAGCGGGUCUGAGAGGAUGAUCCGCAACACUGGGACUGAGAAACGGCCCAGACUCCUACGGGAGGCAGCAGUGGGGAAUAUUGGACAAUGGGGGGAACCCUGAUCCAGCCAUGCCGCGUGUGUGAAGAAGGCCUUAUGGUUGUAAAGCACUUUAAGCGAGGAGGAGGCUACUGAGACUAAUACUCUUGGAUAGUGGACGUUACUCGCAGAAUAAGCACCGGCUAACUCUGUGCCAGCCGCCGCCGUAAGAC